rnacentral:rRNA from 1 species
AGAAUCAACGCUGGCGGCGUGCCUCAGACAUGCAAGUCGAACGCGAAAGUCCCUUUCGGGGGGCAAGUAGAGUGGCGCACGGGUGAGUAACACGUAGGUAAUCUACCUUUGGAUGGGGAAUAACAACCGGAAACGGUUGCUAAUACCGCAUAAUGCAGCGGCACCUAAUGGUGACAGUUGUUAAAGCGGGGGAUCGAAAGACCUCGCGUCUGAAGAGGAGCCUGCGGCGGAUUAGCUAGUUGGUAAGUAACGGCUUACCAAGGCUACGAUCC